GGUACUCGCGCUCUGCGCGCUCGGCGCGGUGAGCGGGACAGAUAAAACAGAGUCCACGACGAACAACAGGCAUCGGCGGACUUCGGGGACAGAGCUAUUCCUCAGCAUCGUUGGAGAACGACCAAGCGAGAGGAACCAAAUCAAAUCGUCUCUCCUGCCAGUGCAGCUGCCGAUCCAACUGGGAGGCCAUGGAGGAGUGACAUUACCAAUUCUGGUGCUCCCUGUGCCAAUUUACACCAAUAAUCCAGAUUCCUGCAGCGCUAAUCAUGGAUCAACCGCUACGCAUCCAGCACAAGCUCUACCAAAUAUACCAAUCGCACAAAUCCGCCAACAAAUUCAAGCUCAAAUUCAGCCUCAAACAGU